UCUCGAUUCGUCUAGUGGUUAGGAUACCUGCUUGUCAUUGAAUUCGCAGGUGGCCGGGGUUCAAUUCCCCGAUCGAGAG